GACUGCAGGCCACAGGCCGCCUGAGAGCAGCUCAAGGCCAUGAGAGCUGAAACUUAAAAAUGGGCUUUCACCGUGGGGGGAAGGAGGGCGUCGGUCGCCAAGAUGCAGUCCUCCCAAACUCGCAGAUCUCGGAAGGGACACAGGCGGCCUGGGCUCGAUCCCCAGCCCCCCGACACCCCAGAUGCCGCGUAUUCGCAGAAGGUACGUGGAAGCCCCGGAAACGGAUUGGGAGCAGCCGCGUGCCUGCUGCCCGCCCUCCACCUCCCUCACCCCAAGCACCUUGUCUCUCCAGCCCCUCCACGGCCCCCGCCCCUCUGCUCGGCCCCGGACACCCCAGAGGGCGACCCCGGCCCUUCCCGAGCUCCGGUGUUGCUGGCCUGGGCACUGCCCCAGGGAGCCCGGGGCGGCCGGGCGGGAGCACGACUGACGGCGGGUCGGACGCCCCACAGCCUCCCUCGGCCGUGUCGCCCCGUGGGGUGGCCCCAGUCCACCCAUUUUCACUCAACGUGUCAAAGCCAGGAUUUCGACCCCGAUGUGUGCAGCUCCUGGCCAAGCGCCCCUCCCCGCAGCCCGUUCCUGCCACCCGCGCGGCCAGGACAGGGGCCAAGAGCCGCCUUCCUUCAGGGGCCCCGGGCUGGGCCAGGCCAGCAGGAGCUCCGCGCCGACUGCAGGGUCGAGGCCGGAGGGGGUGGAGGGGUGGAGGAGGUGGAGGGGGUGGCCGCCGAAUGGGCGCCAGGCCGCUGUGCCGGGGAACAGCCUGGGCGGGCGAGGCCGGGGUCUGGAACGGGCUGCCCUCCCCGGGAGGCCGAGGCCCAUCCUACAGGCGAAGCAGGGACCUGUAGGCCUUCCCAGGCGGGGUGUCCCCCAGCCCUACAGGCGGCCGCCAGUGUCCCUCCCAGUACCCCCCAUGGCUUCCAGGGAUCUGUACCACGUCUCUCUCGGCUCUCGUCCCUCCGUGAGCCCCGCUCUUUACAGGACGGGGCCGCCCCUGCGUCCGGAGCAAGGGGCUGCGAGGCGACCUCUGCUCAGCCGAACGCGGCGCCGCCGAGGCGAUCCGAAGGAAACCGGGGACAGAGGGUGUUGAGAGCGGCUGCCCGAGGCCCUGCUGGCUCGUCCCCGUCCCUGGACCUCCAGCCCAGGACUUUCUGAGUUGAGAAGCAAUGUAGAGAAGGCGCCUGAGCCGGGAAGAUCAACAGGCCGACUACACACAGACGGUAAACAGUCGUCCCCCCCCAAACCGCAAGAAGCAGAUCGAAAAGUCAGAAAACCGUCUCGACAAAUAUAACGGACGUGGGGUUAAAAUCCUUCGAUGCGAAGGACUCCUACAAACCAUUUGGAACAAAAGAUGCCAAUAGAUAGGGGAAGUCGUGGAAUUAUGUUCAUGGAAACCUCGUGAUUGAAUCCGAUUGUUUCUGAUUGUGAUACCUGUUGGUGGAGGGCGCUGGGCGUCCUGGAUCCGCCGGCUUCCCCCCGCUUCCCCAGGAGGAGAGCUCCCGCUUCUUUCUUUCUGCCACGAAUACGGUUUAAAUUGAUCUUUUGUGGGAAUACGGUGACGAGGGGGCGCAGGGAGCAGAGCCUUCCCCUGGCUCUCUCGGCUCCUGCACGGCAGGUGGCGUGGGCGCGGGAGGUGUCCCUGGCCCACCUCCGUGAUCUCCGCUUCUCCCUGGAAAAGAAAGAAGCUUUAGGUUCCGCAAACGGCCCCCGGUUCCCAGUGCGAGCCCCGCGGUCCCAGGGGCACGAGGGCGCUGCCUCCCGGGCACCGCGGGUGGGAGAGGCGGGACCUGCAGGCAGGCGGCGCACGGGCCGGGCCGGGGCUCCGCAGGGCAGACGCGGGAAACCCGGAGCCCGACGGGAAGCAGCGCGGCCGGGCCACACAGCAUGGCUCUGGGACGGUGCCGCCGCCAGCCGAGGGGUCCCACCUGCUAACAGACUCAGUUUGCUUCCCCCAAGACUGUGAGUCGGCCCUGGCUGAGGUGUGUGGGCAGGACGGGUCCAGGGUCCUCGCGGAGGCCGCACGCCCGUGGCGGAGACGGCUGGUAAACGGGGGGCAGCAGCGGCGCCCGCAGCACUCAGAAGGCAUCGAGGGGCCGACACGUGGCCCUGGGGGGAGGGAGGGCCGCAUGGGGGCCUUCAAGAGGAGGUGUGCCCGCACCGGGGUUUUGAAGGCCAAACAGGAGUUCGCCGGGCAAAGUGUGGAGAAGGCCUCCCGGACCGAGGUGGCUGCGUGAGCAAGGCCAAGGUCACUCCGGGGCACGUGGGGGCCCCGGGGAGCCGGGAGGCGGCGGCGUGCAGGUGCUCACUGUGGCAGAGCCCCUCGGGGCUGCGGGGACGCAGGGACAGCCGGCCAGGGCGGCUGGAGCCCCCAGGAGGGCAGGGCCGGGUUCUAGACACGGUCGGGACCUGGGGUCCAGCGUCCCUGGCGGGCAGCGCCCGGAGGUCAGCUCUGCCAGCAGGGCCCCGGGGAAGCGCUGGGGGCCGGUCCGGACAAGCCCUGGUGCCAUGAGCUCCCCACGCCCAGCUCCCCGCCCGCGCCGCUCCCCAGCUGCCCACCUGCCGGGCCCGCGCGGAGCCCACGUCCACGCGACUGUGGCUCCCGGCCGCUGCCCCCCGCGAGCGCUCCCCCUUCACACAGGCCUCCGCGGGCUCUUGACCGAGUCUCCAUCUUCAAAAUGUAUUUACUCAUGAGACAGAGAGAGGCAGAGGGAGAAGCAGCCUCCCCGCGGGGACCCCGACGCGGGACUCGAUCCCGGGACCCCAGGAUCACGCCCUGAGCCCCCCGCGCCCCACAUUCUCCACUUCAGCAGGCACCGGAGAGGUCGGAGGGCCGUCCAGGCAGCAGAGGCCCCUCCCAGGAGCAGCCGGCGGCACCUUUGCUCCCCCGGUCAGCGCCCAGGGCCUCGGGGGGAGACGGACCUGCCUCUCCGCGGGACACGGGGGUCCGAGGUCACCGCGCCCCAGGCCUGCCACCCGGGAGCCGAGCUGGGGGGGACUCGAUCCUCGGCCUCGGAGACCCCACGGGCGGUGUCUUCACAGGGAGCCCGACGC